AGCCGUGCGUCGAGCACACAGCGAACUAUUCUUUCGCCUUUUACUAAAGAAUACCGUGUGCUCGUUGCUAAUUAAGCGGCAUACGUUUAUUUUUGGAGGGUUGUCUUUUAUAGGACAAC